rnacentral:rRNA from 1 species
GCUUGUCUCAAAGAUUAAGCCAUGCAUGUCUAAGUAUAAGCAUUAUACAGUGAAACUGCGAAUGGCUCAUUAUAUCAGUUAUAGUUUAUUUGAUAGUCCCUACUAUUUGGAUAACCGUAGUAAUUCUAGAGCUAAUACAUGCGUCAAGCCUCGACUCACGGAGAGGUGUAUUUAUUAGAUACAACCAACAUCGUGGUGAUUCAUAAUAACUUUGCGAAUCGUAUGCCUCACGGCGACGAUGAAUCAUUCAAAUUUCUGCCCUAUCAACUUGGCUACCACAUCCAAGGAAGGCAGCAGG